AUGAGAGGGCACCAUGGUGCGGAAGCACGGCUGGCAGCUCCCGGCCCACACCCCGCAGGUUCGUCCGUCUGUCCGCCAGCUCCUCCCCCUCCCUUCCCCACAUUUCCCUUUCCUCCCACGCUGGCUCGGAUCGGCGCGGCAGCUGGGACGGAGGCCGUACGCACCCUCGCCGAUGGCGGCGUAUUGAUCCAGCUAAAUCGGCAGGCGGCUUCCGGCGGAGGAGUCUCGUGGUGUUCGUGGAGGCUGCGAGGAGGUAGCGAUGGGGAUCGGCUACCGAGCGAGGGCAAGGGCGCCGAUCUCCCAUCUCCUGUUUGUAAUCACCGGUGCGGCCACCAUCGACUGGAUCUUCACCCCCUCAGAAGAUGUGCAAUGAGUUGA
rnacentral:rRNA from 1 species